UUGAAAGUGUUAGCUUAAGGUUGAAAUAUGUAAAGUAAAUGAUUAAUAAAAGUAAUUUUAAGUGGAAUUGGUUAAAGUAAUAUUUUAUAGAAAAAAUUAGAAGAUUUAUAGUGUAGUAGUAUUGUGAAAGAUUGAUGAAAUAAUAGAAAAUUUAUUUAUUUAAAAGUAGUUUUAUAGUGUACCUUGUGUAUCAGGGUUAAUUAAAAUUAUAUUAUAAAUAAUAAUUGUUCUCGAUUUAAAGUGAGUAAUAAUAUUAAUAAUUAAAAUGUUGAAUAAUUUUAUUAAAUAGUAUUAUGGGAAUGAAAUGUUAAACGAACUUUAAGGUAUCUAGUUAUCUAAGAAAUGAAUUUAAUUCAGGUAUUAAAUUAUUGAUUAUUAUUUUUAAUGAGUAAUAUUUUUAAUACUACUAAUUAAGGGGAUUAGCUCUUGAUUAUUAUUAAUAAUGUGUAAAUUAUAAAAUAAAAUUAGACUUUAAAGUAGUUAAAUUUUUGGUGUAUUAUAACUUAUUUGAAUAUAAAUUAUAUUUAGUGUGAAAUUUUAAGAUUAAAUUAGAUUUAUUUUAUUAAUUGUCAGGAAAUGUAAUAAUGAUUAAAUUAGUAUAAGUUAAAUGAAUUAUAAGGUUAAUAAAAUUGGAAUUUAUGAUAAGGAAUUCGGCAAAAUUAAUGCUCGCCUGUUUAACAAAAACAUGUCUUUUUGGUUGUUUAAAAAGUCUGGCCUGCCCACUGAAGUUUUGAAGGGCCGCGGUAUUUUGACUGUGCAAAGGUAGCAUAAUCAUUAGUCUUUUAAUUGAGGACUAGAAUGAAUGGUUGGACGAAGUAUUAGCUGUCUCAUUAUAAAAUUUAGAAUUUAAUAUUUUAGUUAAAAAGCUGAAAUAUAUAUAUAGGACGAGAAGACCCUAUAAAGUUUAAUAUAAUAAACAUUUAUAAUAAAUUUAGUUGUAUGUUUUAUGUAAUUAUUAUUAUAUUUAGUUGGGGUGACUUGAAGAAUAAAUAAACUCUUUAUAAUUUAUAAACUAUUAUAUUAGAAUAAUUGAUCCAUUAUUAGUGAUUAAAAGAUUAAAUUACUUUAGGGAUAACAGCGUAAUUUUCUUUGAGAGUUCUUAUCGACAAGAGAGAUUGCGACCUCGAUGUUGAAUUAAGAAUAUUAAUGGGUGUAGAAGUUCAUUAAAUAAGUCUGUUCGACUUUUAAAUUCUUACAUGAUUUGAGUUCAGACCGGCGUGAGCCAGGUCGGUUUCUAUCCUUAUAUUAAAAAAUAUUUUAGUACGAAAGGACCAAAUAUUUGAUAUAUUAUUUGUUAAGAGAAAAAUAAUAAUACUAUUUUGGCAGAAAAAAGUGUAAUGAAUUUAGAAUUCAUA
rnacentral:rRNA from 1 species